UAAUAAUUCGUCACGCGUAAAAAAUAUAAAUCUUUGUACUGUCGUCCGCAGCACGCUGAGAAGUCUUUGUGGAAUAAAAUUGAUAAAUCGCUUGAAGAUUCAAAACAAGAUCAGCUUUCCAAUUGAAAAACAGUAGGAAAAAUCAAAAUGAAUCACAAUAAUGUCAAUGGUGGACACAGGAAGCCUCUAUCUUUGGAAACAUUAAAUGCAAAUGUUAAAAAUAUUGAAUACGCUGUUCGUGGGCCAAUAUUUCAGGAAGCAAAGAAACUGGAAGAAGAACUAGCUAAGGGUGCAAAAAAGGAUUUUACAAAGGUGAUCUUUGCCAAUAUUGGAGAUUGUCAGGCAAUGGGUCAAAAACCUAUUACUUUUAUUAGACAGGUAGUAUCGCUAUGCUUGGAUCCAUCUUUAUUAAACUGUAAUGAAUAUCCAGUGGAUGUUAAAGAAAGAGUGAGAAAGAUUCUUGGUUCAUGUCGUGGUGGCAGUGUUGGAGCGUAUACUGAUUCAAGUGGAAUAGAUUUGAUCAAAAACGAUGUUGCCAACUUUAUUGAAAGAAGAGAUGGCUAUACAUGUGAUCCAUCAGAUAUCUUUAUGUCAGGUGGAGCAAGUGAAGGUAUUAAGAAUAUGAUGAAAUGCAUUGUAAGCGUGGGUGCAGAAGAAAAAACUGGUGUCAUGAUUCCCAUUCCACAAUAUCCUCUUUAUUCAGCCACAAUCUCGGAAGUUGGAGCUUAUCAAAUCAAUUAUUAUUUGGAUGAAAAAAAUAAUUGGGCAUUGGAUGUUGAAGAGCUGAGACGUGCGUUAAAUGAAGCAAGAAAUCACUGUAGUCCAAGGCUUUUUUGUGUUAUUAAUCCGGGCAAUCCAACAGGACAAGUUUUGAGUUAUGACAAUAUCAAAGCAGUCAUCCAGUUUUGCAUGGAAGAAGGAUUAUUUCUAUUUGCUGAUGAAGUGUAUCAAGAGAAUGUGUAUGCCAAGGGAUCCAAAUUUCACUCAUUUAAGAAAGUGGUGCGUGACUUAGGAGAAGAAUAUAAGGACUUUCAGUUGGCAUCUUUUCACUCCUGUUCAAAGGGAUAUGUUGGAGAGUGUGGUAUUCGUGGCGGUUACAUGGAAGUUAUAGGUCUUGACUCAGAUGUAAAAUAUCAAAUAAGAAAGAUGCUAUCUGCAAAGCUGUGUUCUACAACAAUAGGACAGAGUGUUAUGGAUUUUGUUGUGAAUCCCCCAAAGGAAGGAGAAGAUUCAUAUCCUUUAUUUAAUAAGGAAAGAAAUGCAGUUUUAACUUCAUUGAAAGAACGUGCCAAAAUGGUGGCAGAGGCAUUUGAUAAAAUUGAUGGAAUAAAAUGUAAUGAAGUCAUGGGAGCCAUGUAUGCAUUUCCACAAAUUACCAUUCCAACUCUAGCAAUAGAGAAAGCAAGUCACUUAAACAAGAACCUGAUUUUAUGUACUGCAUGGAACUGUUAAAUGAAACAGGUAUAUGUGUGGUACCAGGAAGUGGUUUUGGUCAAAGGAAAGGAACUUAUCAUUUUAGAAUGACUAUCCUUCCUCCUAAGGAUCAGCUACAAACUCUUCUGGAUAAAUUCAUAACUUUUAACAAAAAAUUUCAAAAAAAGUAUCAAAAAUGACAAAAAUUUUGUAUUGUUAGUAGUUAAAGUUUAUAUUUUAUUCAUGUCAAACUUAAAAUGGGUCAUAGCGAAGAUUUCAAAUAUUGCUUAAAGUAUCUUUACAUGUUGGAAGUGGGAUUGGUGUAUUUAGAAAACUUUAUUAAUACAAAGCAAAACUAAACCUGACAUAAAUUAGGCACACUUAAAUGUGAUGAUGCACAAUACAUGUAUGCAUGUAGAAAUGUGUAAUAAAUUGACAAAAAAAAAUCUGGGUAAGAAAAUAAAUAUUUCAUUGUAAA